AUUGAACGCUGGCGGAAUGCUUUACACAUGCAAGUCGAACGGCAGCACGGGAGCUUGCUCCUGGUGGCGAGUGGCGAACGGGUGAGUAAUGCGUCGGAACGUGCCGAGUAAUGGGGGGAUAACGCAGCGAAAGUUGUGCUAAUACCGCAUACGCCCUGAGGGGGAAAGUGGGGGAUCGCAAGACCUCACGUUAUUCGAGCGGCCGACGUCUGAUUAGCUAGUUGGUGGGGUAAAGGCCUACCAAGGCGACGAUCAGUAGCGGGUCUGAGAGGAUGAUCCGCCACACUGGGACUGAGACACGGCCCAGACUCCUACGGGAGGCAGCAGUGGGGAAUUUUGGACAAUGGGGGCAACCCUGAUCCAGCCAUUCCGCGUGAGUGAAGAAGGCCUCGGUUGUAAGGAC
rnacentral:rRNA from 1 species